rnacentral:rRNA from 1 species
CAGUAGCCGCGGGAAUACGUAGGGUGCGAGCGUUAAUCGGAAUUACUGGGCGUAAAGCGUGCGCAGGCGGUUCGUUAAGACAGAUGUGAAAGCCCUGGGCUCAACCUAGGAAUUGCAUUUGAUACUGUUUGGCUUGAGUUCGGGAGAGGUGAGUGGAAUUCCCAGUGUAGAGGUGAAAUUCGUAGAUAUUGGGAAGAACACCGGUGGCGAAGGCGGCUCACUGGACCGACACUGACGCUGAGGCGCGAAAGCGUGGGGAGCAAACAGGAUUAGAUACCCCGGUAGUCCCUGUCUCUUAUAC